AUCAUUUUUGGCACUUUGUCAAAUGGGGUCAUCUGAUAUAUCAAAUUGAAGGUCUUAAUAAACUCUUCUUAAAAAUGAAAAUUUUAAACCCCCUUUUCAUCCCAGCGGGACGGGUGGGGUCAUUUAGUGCAAAAAUUCAAAUUUCUCAGAUGGUAAGGUUGUCGCAUAUCAAAUGAAAGAACAUAAAGCGUACAUUUCAAAUUUCAAAUUGACGUUCCCCAAAAAUUGGUUGGAUGGGUCAUUGAGUGCAAAAAGUAAAUUUUCUUUUUAGAUAGGGUUGUUGUAUAUCGAAAAAAAGGCCAUGAUGUGUUCAUUUGAAAUAUCAAAUUCCUGACCUCCAAAAAUUAGUUGGAUGGGGUUAUUAAGUGCAAAACUCAAACUUUGUAGAACAUGGUGUUGUCGCAUAUCAAAUGAAAGAUCAUCUUGUCUAUGUUACAUAUAUCAUACUUCCGAUCUCGAAAAUGUAGCCGGAAGAGGUCAUUAAGUGUAAAAAGCGAACAGUUUCAGAAGGUAUGCUUGUCAUAUAUCAAACGAAAGGUCGUACAAAGUACAUUACGAAAACAUCACUUUUACAGGAAAGACCUUUCAAUUGUUUUACAAACAAUUGAGAUACUAGUUUUUUUUUUUUUCUUCCAACAUUUUUUUGACAUACCCGCCUCUUGUUUCUGUUGAAGUUAUUAAGACCAAAUAUGGACCAUCGCUAGAUCUCACCAAGCUGUAUUACCAAAAUGACCUUGUUAAGGAUUUCAUCAUCCCCUUUAAGAGUUAUUUCCCUUUUAUUGAUUUUUUUCAACAUGGCCCUCCCUCGUUGGUUUUAAAGAUAUUGUGACCUUUAUUGGACAUAAUGUAGAUCUCAUCAUGAUGUAUUACCAUGUGAGCCUGAAUAGGAUUUCAUCGUCUCCUAUGAGAGUUAUAUCCCCUUGAAACAAUUUCUUUCCUUUGCAUUUUUCUCAAAAAGUAUAAGAGAUAGAAUUGAUUUGAAAACGGCAUUAUGUACAAGAACUGAUGGCAAUGUUAAUAAACAUGUACAAUCAUUUUGUUAUUAACCCUUAUAAGGAGUUGUUCCCCUUGAAAAAUUGUACAUAAUUUUUGAAAAAUUGUAUAUCGAGAACCAAAUGUCGUAGAGACUUGGGACCUUCACCAAUAAUCUUUAAUUCGUGUGACCUUUAAUAUGCAGUCAAGGUCAAAGGUCACUGAGUGCAAAAAAAAAUUACGCUGCAAAUUCAAGCUUACAUAUUAGGAAAACGAUAAGACUUUGCUGCAUACAUUCAGCGUAUAAAAUGUUCCUCUCGACGAGCUCUACAUUUUAUAUGAUAAGUCAAAAAAUGUCCGACUGUCUGUUCAAAAGUUACAACAGGAUGAUUCUUAAAAGUAUAGUAUUGUAUGUAUAUCUUUUUAAAGGUAACAGAUAUCAACCUACUAUAAACAGCAAAGAUGAUCAGUAAUUCAAGACCUUCAAUUUGAGGUCAAUGUCAGGUAAUGAUGAAAUUUCACCUUGACCUUCAAAUUAUACAAUGACCUUGACCUUGUGAUAAUUGAAAGGUCAAGUGGUCUUGAGUUGAAUGGUGGUAGUCCCAUGUCUCUACGACUUCCAGUUCUCAAGUUUGAUAUUGCAUCAUAUAUUUGAUGAUUAAUUGUGACCUUAUUGAACUUUGAAAUUGUCCCAAUUCUUUUUCUAUAAUGUUGUCCUUCAACUGUACAUCAUUUAUCAUUUAACAGAUUUGAGAUAUCUAUUGUCGUUUUAGAGAUAAUGCAGUUUGUAAUUUUGCAAGCAGCGGCAUAUAUUUCUGAAUAAACAACAGAUUACCACUUAAAAUGUUUAAGAAAUUGAAGAGGUUAACAUAGUUAUAUGUUUAACCAAAUACCAAAAACAUUCCAUUGAAAAAAACACCAAAAAAUCAAUUUGAAAUUUUCCGGUUUUGCAUUGACUGUGUGAGUUUCAUAAGUUCUAUUUAUAUAGUUGAUAUUGCAUCAUGUUUGGCACUUUGUCAAAUGGGGUCAUCUAAUAUAUCAAAUUGAAGGUCUUAAUAAACUCUGCUUAAAAAUAAAAAUUUUAAACCCCUUUUUCAUUCCAGGGGGAAGGGUUGGGUCAUUUAGUGCAAAAAUUCAAAUUUAUCAGAUGGUAAGGUUGUCGCAUAUCAAAUGAAAGGACAUAAAGCGUACAUUUCAAAUUUCAAAUUGACGUCCCCAAAAAAAUCGUUGGGUGGGGUCAUUGAGUGCAAAAAAAUAAAAUUUCUUUUAAGAUAGGGUUGUUGUAUAUCAAAUGAAAGGUCAUGAUAUGUACAUUUGAA
rnacentral:lncRNA from 1 species